rnacentral:rRNA from 1 species
AUUGAACGCUGGCGGCAUGCCUUACACAUGCAAGUCGAACGGCAGCACGGGUGCUUGCACCUGGUGGCGAGUGGCGAACGGGUGUGUAAUACAUCGGAACAUGUCCUGUAGUGGGGGAUAGCCCGGCGAAAGCCGGAUUAAUACCGCAUACGAUCCACGGAUGAAAGCGGGGGACCUUCGGGCCUCGCGCUAUAGGGUUGGCCGAUGGCUGAUUAGCUAGUUGGUGGGGUAAAGGCCUACCAAGGCGACGAUCAGUAGCUGGUCUGAGAGGACGACCAGCCACACUGGGACUGAGGCACGGCCCAGACUCCUACGGGAGGCAGCAGUGGGGAAUUUUGGACAAUGGGCGAAAGCCUGAUCCAGCAAUGCCGCGUGUGUGAAGAAGGCCUUCGGGUUGUAAAGCACUUUUGUCCGGAAAGAAAUCCUUGACUCUAAUACAGUCGGGGGAUGACGGUACCGGAAGAAUAAGCACCGGCUAACUACGUG